CCUGUGCCAUGCACGAGGCACUGCUCCCAGCCUUCCUUCAUCGAGGACAGGGAACUGCUACAGAGGAAAAGCCGCUCAUAAAUCUCUCCGGGAGGCAUUUGUUCCCAGCUCGCCGAGGCUGGAAAUGCCACGAGGCGCCUGUCCCACGCUGAGCCAGCAGCCGGCGGAGGUCCCGCACUGCACCGCGGUGGCUCCGCUUCCUGCCCAGCCCUCGCGCCCGGAGCCAAGCAUUGCCCAAGAGCUUUCCUGUUUUCCCCACCGCCACUCGGCAUCCGAGACAUGGCACAGGGUGCUGCAAGCUGACCCCCCGUCGCUGCUGCUGAGAUGCCAAACCCCGGCGGGGGAGGACAGUUUGCACACACCAAGAGCCAGGCUGGAGCGGGAGCGCACGGUGCCGAGCGCGCGGGGACGAGGCGAGCAGAGCGCACGCUUCCCCAUCAAAAAUGACAGCCUCGACACCAGGCGGAAGAGGGGGGCACUCUCCCCCAUUACAUAUUUAUUGUGCAAAGCUGCAGAGGGGCCAAUUAAAACAGCUUGAUCACUGCCACGUUCAGGCAGCCGCGGAUGAGAAGCAGGAGGAGAAGCAGGUGUACGUUUUCCUGUUGCCGUUACAGCUCAGCUCGCUCCUCUGAGAGCCGCUGAAAAUCCCAGCUGAACAAAGGUGCUGCCGAGGCAGAAGCCAGCUCCUACAGGAGGGCAGCACGCGGGCACCAAAAAGGCAGAACAGCUUUCCUCCUUCAGCCCUCCGCCCCCGUACCCCACGCAGUUUCUCGGUGUUUGCUUCUGCUUUGUUUCCCUAUUUCAGCUCUUCCUAUAAGCUGCCUCCUGCACGAGGCAGGCUGCACCCACAUCUGCCCCAGCUUUCGGGCAAUUGCUCCAAGACACGCUCCUGGCUCCAACGUUUAGCUGCAACAGGAGUUCCCGAAGUAAGUUCUGGAAAGCCUGGGAGUGGUGGUUAACCGGGGCUCUCAGGAAGAUGCUGCAAAUCACACCUUUCCCUGAGACGCCACAGGGUCUGCACAGCAAACGGCUCCAAAUGCCAUUUCCAUUUAGCUGUUUUGCAAGCCAAUUUGUCACAUACUAAUGUAAUUUGCUGAAGAGAGUUAAAGAGCACAGGGCAGUAGCAGUCACCUUUUUUUUUUUUUUUUUCCUCUCUCUCCAGACUCCCACAUCCAGCCUGGAUCUGCAUUUUCACUUUUGCAUCAAAACCGAAAUUCCCUUCCUGUGAGAGGCGCAGGGAAGCUCAGGGUUAACACGAAGAGCAAGACGGAGUGAUAAGAGCACCAGGAAAAGCUGUUUCCAUCAUACCGGUGGAUUGUGUGCACGUCUCAGGCAGCAUCUGUUACCUGUUUCUACCACACAAACUUGUUACCAGCCGGGGGGGAGCCUCACAAUUAAUUACAUCAAUAACAGUAUAAAAACAAUGAGAAGUGAACUGUGCUGGUCUUCCUGCAACAAGCACCACGGAGAUAGUUGGGAAUGGUGACUGGUUCCUACACAAGCCAUUUCACAACAGUUAUACAUCCACAAUGCCCAUUCCUGGCGCCAAGUUUCUCAAGUCAAAGCUGUUUUAUCCGGUUCCCCGCACCACCCCAAAACCACAUUUAAGCUUUGAGGUCCUCAAAGUGACAACAAAUGGCAAAAGGACAGCAAUAAAGAAAAAAAUAUCACUUUUUCAAGGAUCUAACACCUCUGUGUUAAAGGAAAAAAAGCUAAACAUCUGCUCAGAGGAUGGCACAGAUUCCUUCUGAGGCAUCCAUCUUUCAGCUGUAAAGUAGGUCAUUUGAUUUAACUUUUAGAAGCACCGUUAUCAAUGAGGCCAUGCAGAGAAGGACAGCCAAGACCAGCUCCCUGAAGCCAGCUGAGAUCUAUUAAGCACACUUCAAGCCACCAGCGAAGUAUCAAGUGCUCAGCAAAUAGCGAGGAAACCCGAGCAGCAGCAGGUUUUUGUAUCACUGGUGCUCUGCAAACUUCACAUUUUCUCACCUCCAAGCCAAUAUCUUGAACUGCAGGUCACAGACGUACAGGGUCUGCUGUUUUUUUUUCCCCUCCACCACUUACUAUUCGCGUCACUUAAUAUCAGACUAUUGACUUUCUGAUACCCCUUUGAACGCAGAUUAACUGAACAUCAUUCACUUCACCUCCAGAAAUGAGCGUGAAUGGGAACAAAGCCUGUGCUGCCUGACCAGGCCAGGUUAAAGCGAGGUCAGGAGACGAGGAGGACAAGUGGCACCUCCAGCCUCUGCUGCGAGCACACGCGCACAGCUCCGGGGCUGGAGAAGACGCGGACCCCCGCACACAAGCCAGGAUUUCCCUGAAGGGAGCCUGAACGCAUUCAUCUUCCUUCCCUC
rnacentral:lncRNA from 1 species